rnacentral:rRNA from 1 species
UGGGGAAUUUUGGACAAUGGGCGCAAGCCUGAUCCAGCCAUGCCGCAUGUCUGAAGAAGGCCUUCGGGUUGUAAAGGACUUUUGUCAGGGAAGAAAAGGCUGUCGCUAAUACCGACAGUUGAUGACGGUACCUGAAGAAUAAGCACCGGCUAACUACGUGCCAGCAGCCGCGGUAAUACGUAGGGUGCAAGCGUUAAUCGGAAUUACUGGGCGUAAAGCGAGCGCAGACGGUUACUUAAGCAGGAUGUGAAAUCCCCGGGCUCAACCUGGGAAUUGCGUUCUGAACUGGGUGGCUAGAGUGUGUCAGAGGGAGGUAGAAUUCCACGUGUAGCAGUGAAAUGCGUAGAGAUGUGGAGGAAUACCGAUGGCGAAGGCAGCCUCCUGGGAUAACACUGACGUUCAUGCCCGAAAGCGUGGGUAGCAAACAGGAUUAGAUACCCUGGUAGUCCACGCCCUAAACGAUGUCGAUUAGCUGUUGGGCAGCCUGACUGCUUGGUAGCGAAGCUAACGCGUGAAAUCGACCGCCUGGGGAGUACGGUCGCAAGAUUA